rnacentral:lncRNA from 1 species
ACUCUUGCAUAAUAAUUUUAUUAGAAAGACAUUCUCAACACACCCUGGCCAACAUUUUGACCUUUGCUAAUUUUAUGAGAAAAUGGUGGUGGUGGGUCCCUGCAGUCCCAGCUACUCAGGAGGCUGAGGCAGGAGAAUUGCUUAAACCCGGGAGGCGGAGGUUGCAGUGAGCCGAGACAUCACCACUGCACUCCAGCCUGGGUGACAGAGCAAGGCUCUGCCUCAAAAAAAAAAAAAAAAAAAAAAAGUUCUGCUCCCGUUUAAAUAAAGCAAAGUGAGUUACUGCUUUCCAACAUACUUACUGUUAAAGAGCUACUGCAAGAAGGAAAGUACAAUAAAGGGAAUAUACAGAGUCCAUCAGUUAGAGAUAUUGAUAGUUAGUUAUGCUGCAGUAUACCUGUAUGUGUUGUUACACAUGUCUACAUGGUGGACCAUAUAAUGAGUCAGUUCUACUAUCAUAUAAUUGACUUGAACAGCUGUGAAGCUAUUCUU